rnacentral:rRNA from 1 species
CCUACGGGUGGCAGCAGUGGGGAAUAUUGGACAAUGGGGGCAACCCUGAUCCAGCCAUGCCGCGUGUGUGAAGAAGGCCCUCGGGUUGUAAAGCACUUUCAGUGAGGAAGAACGCCUGGUGGUUAAUACCCAUCAGGAAAGACAUCACUCACAGAAGAAGCACCGGCUAACUCCGUGCCAGCAGCCGCGGUAAUACGGAGGGUGCGAGCGUUAAUCGGAAUUACUGGGCGUAAAGCGCGCGUAGGUGGCUUGAUAAGCCGGUUGUGAAAGCCCCGGGCUCAACCUGGGAACGGCAUCCGGAACUGUCAAGCUAGAGUGCAGGAGAGGAAGGUAGAAUUCCCGGUGUAGCGGUGAAAUGCGUAGAGAUCGGGAGGAAUACCAGUGGCGAAGGCGGCCUUCUGGACUGACACUGACACUGAGGUGCGAAAGCGUGGGUAACAAACAGGAUUAGAUACCCCAGUAGUC